GUAAAUAACGGCCGUUACGUUACGACCAUUAUUUGAUUCCAUGGUCCUGUGGGCUAUGGGAAUCGCUUGCAAGUUUAUUAAGGGUGAAAUGUGAGCGUAAUCCUAUCCUAGAAACUAAUACCGACCUUGUCUGCAGGGAUGGCAAUGGUUCAGUUUUUUGUAGAUAUACAACCUGAUAAGAUGGGUUUAGGUAGUAUAUAAUUAGAUUUAGAAUGAGUUCAGAUUUAAAAAAUAAUAAUCGUGUCAGGUUCAAGCUUUACAUAUUGGGCA
rnacentral:misc_RNA from 1 species